CUAGCUUAGUAUAAUUGAGUACGUGGGAUUGUAGCUUCUUUGGUGACGUUGGGUUUAGCUAGA
rnacentral:tRNA from 1 species